UACGGAGGAUGCGAGCGUUAUCCGGAUUUAUUGGGUUUAAAGGGUGCGCAGGCGGGCUGCUAAGUCAGCGGUGAAAUGUCCCGGCUCAACCGGGGAGCUGCCGUUGAUACUGGCGGUCUGGAGUGCGGACGGCGCCGGCGGAAUGUGUGGUGUAGCGGUGAAAUGCAUAGAUACCACACAGAACACCGAUCGCGAAGGCAGCUGGCGAGGCCGUCACUGACGCUGAGGCACGAAAGCGUGGGGAUCGAAC
rnacentral:rRNA from 1 species